UACAGAGGUCUCAAGCGUUGUUCGGAUUCAUUGGGCGUAAAGGGUGUGUAGGUGGCGCCUGUAAGUCGGGUGGUGAAUUUACGGAGCUUAACUCCGAAACUGCAUUCGAUUACUGCGGUGCUUGAGGACUGGAGAGGAGGACUAGGAAUUCAUGGUGUAGCAGUGAAAUGCGUAGAGAUCAUGAGGAAGACCGUGGCGAAGGCGGGUCUCUGGGCCGUAACUGACGCUGAGGAGCGAAAGCGUGGGGAGCGAACA
rnacentral:rRNA from 1 species